GUGAUUCUUGCUAUCUCUCUCCCCUCUUCCUUCCCCACAUCCUGGAGUUGACAAGCAAUUCCAUUGGGUUAUACAUAUAUUAUCACCCAAAUCCUAUUUUCAUAUCAUUCAUUUUUUGUAAAAAUCUUUUAAAACUGAAACCCCAAAUCCUACACCCAUACAAACAAGUGAUAAAUCACAUGUUUUCUUCAGGAUUUCUACUCCCACAUUUCUUUUUCUAGUGUAGAUAGCAUCUUUCUCAUAAGUCCCUCAGAAUUGUCCUGGAUCAUUGCAUUGCUUUUAGUAGCAAAGUCAGUUACAUUUGAUUGUCCCACAAUAUUUCAGUCAUUAUGUAGAAUGUUCUCCUAGUUCUGCUUAUUUCACUCCACAUCGGUUCAUGGAGGUCUGUCCAGUUCUUAUAAAAAUCCAUUGAUUCAUCAUUGCUAAUAGCAAAAUAGUAUUCUAUCUAGGUGGCACUUUAGCAUUAUAAGAAGAGCCAACUUUUGCCCUGAAUUCCUGAAGUGAUACAUGUAGGUCACUGUCUCCCUUACAAAUGGAAGGGCCAGAGGAAGCCACCAGAUCUACAAUAGGUAAACAUUUUUGGAGUAUUUAUAAAGUCAGUGAUAAGAAUGUGACAGGAUAAGAAGGCUUGGAAAGACUUUGAUCUGUCCUGGUGAAAGGGAUGCUUACAUAAGUGGGAUCAUGGUUUUAUUUACAUAUCUAAGUAGCUGAGUUUUUGCUUAAUAAAUGUAUUUUUUAAAAUCCUUACCUUUCAUCUUAGAAUCAAUACUGUAUAUUGGUUCUAAGGCAGAAGAGUGGUAAGGGAUAGGUAAAGGGGACUUGCCCAGGGUCACACAAGCUAGGAAAUAUCUGAGGUCAUAUUUGAAUCCAGGACUCUAGGCCUGGCUCUUAAUCCACUGAAACCACCUAGUUGCUCCUACCUGCUAAAUCAGAAAAAAAGAUCAGUGUGUUUUUGCUGAUUUAAUUUCCCUGGAAAAAUGUGUAGCAAUUUUGUUUAUUUUCAGCACUUAAUGGCUAAUUUGGAAAGGAGUCUGUGAGAAGUCUGAUUCUCUUGUUGCCUCUCAUCACCAUCUUACUAAGUGACAACAUGACCUCAAAUUCUCCAGUUCUAUUAAUGCCACUUGUUAUUGGUGUUAUUUUACUGUAGUCUUUUUUGAAUUUUCUUACAUUUGGGGCAAUUGGCCACAGAACAAAGUGUCUAGUACAUCACAGCUAAUUAGUCAAAUUGUACUUGAUCAAAUGGUUUGUUGGUUGGAUAGUUGCUUGAAAAACAGUUAGAUUGUGGGUUCCCUGAAGGCAGAAACCACACCCAGCACAAGACUGCCAUGUGGUACAAGAACUUGCCCUUCAUGCCUGGACAAUGGGUAGUCUACUUGAGCUGAACUUGUCAUCUGGAAUGUGUAGAAUAUCUUCUUUAGGAAGGUAGGGUUAAUUCAGCAGAAGAGAGUUAAGAACAGUAGAAAAGAAGGAAUUGAAAUAUACAAAACAGGAAAGAAUUUACUCAUGUAUUAAGAUUUAGAAAGAGAGGUCAGACCAAGAAAAAAGCCAGUGAGAUAAUCAGGACUAUCCCUAAGAUCUCAGGGCAAAGACCUGGGGUUAAAACAUUUUGUACAAUGCUUCUUCCUUUGCCCCUUCCCCAGAGCCCAUCGACACUUUUAUUUCAGGAAAUCAAAUUUAAAUUAAUAUCCAGGAUAGCUUAGAAUCCCCAAAGGGACAUUGACUCAUCUUGUUUGCCCUGGAAAGGAAAGAUGGUGGAGUUGGGAGCAGAUUACAAACUAAUUGUAGGUGUAUGAACCUCAAGAUUUUUUUAGAGCUAUCUGAGGAGUCAGCCAUCUCCCUCUGCUUGGAUUGCCUCUCUGGCUAACCUCCUGUCACAACAAAGUGGAGCCUCCUAUCCCUGGGAGACUUUUUGGGAGAUAAGAUUUCGGAAAGUACUGUGCAGGCAUAAGGUGUUAUUGGUAUUCCCCCACCUCUUUCUUUUUCUAGUUAAAUCAAUAUUUUAAGGAGAACUGUGGCAACUUAGGAGUAAUAAUAAUAUUAUCUAAAAUUUAUAUUGUGCUUUGAAGUUUACAAAGUGAUUUACAUAUGUUAUCUUAUUUGAUCUUUGUAACAAUGCCAUGAGAUAGUUGCUUUUAUUAUCUACAUUUACAGAUGGGGAAACUGAGGUAGAUAGAUACAUGGUAAAUGACUUUUGCAGGGUCAUAGAACCAGUAAGCAUCUAAGACAAGACUUGAACUGGGUCUUGCUGACUAGCACUCUAGCUUCCCCUUAAAUUUUCAUGGGUAAGUACUCUUCUCCAUCAAAUUUCAUCACCUAGUUGAAUAGUCAUAGUCAGGUUAUAAGACUAUAGGAGGCCAGAUUUUCAAUUCAUAUCACUUCAAUUCAACUUAGCAAACAUUUAUUAAGUGCUGACUUUGUGUGAUGCACUUUGCUAGACGCUGGAUAUACGAAGAUUAAAAUCAGAAAAAGCCUUGUAUAUGUAGGAAAGAGCACAGGAGCUCUGAGCCUUGAAGGGAGCCAGAGAGUCUAAAAGAUAAAGGUGAGGCAAGAGCAUGCCAGACAAAGAAGGAAUAUUUAGUAUGGGAAAUAUCGAGUAGGUUAGUCUAGCUGGGAUGUAGCGUUCCUGAAGGAGAGGAAUGGAAUCUUUCUGGACAGAUAGUGUGGAGCUGGAUUAUAAAGGACUGCAAAAUUCUUUACAUUUCAGGGGGAAAUGAGUGAUUGUGGAAUUGUAAUCAGAUCAAGGACACGAUGCCUUUACCAGCAUUAGACCUGUGGACAGCUCUGCUCAUGUCACUGCAGAGAAGCUGAUGUCACUCCCAUGUCACAAUGAGAGGCUGGUAGAAGGCUCUGCAUGGAGGCAGGAAUUUAAUAAAUAGUUGUUUGACUGGAUGGAUGAAGGAUUGUUUCUCCAGGUAUCUGCCUCACACUUCAGGUGGCUGAAUUAAGCAGGGAGUGAUUUCAGCCUGACAGCUUGAAGGCGAUAUGCCAUGACUAUCCAUCCCUCUGUUAAAGCUCAGCAGGUGUCAUUCUCAGAUGCUCCAUCUCCUUUGACUACAUGCCAGCUUGCCCCUGUCCCCAGGAACCUGAACACCUCGACCACCUGGCUGAAAGCUGACACGACCCAUUCUCUUAGCUCAGAGGAGGGGAGGGGGUAGAAAUGGAGGAGCAGGAACUUGGUGGACCAACAUUCAAGAAAGGAGUAAACAACCCUUAAAUGUACUAAUAAAACAUUCAAGCUCUGGGAA